UUAAACUGAAGAGUUUGAUCAUGGCUCAGAUUGAACGCUGGCGGCAGGCCUAACACAUGCAAGUCGAGCGGAAACGAUCCUAGCUUGCUAGGAGGCGUCGAGCGGCGGACGGGUGAGUAACGCGUAGGAAUCUGCCCGGUAGUUGGGGAUAGC
rnacentral:rRNA from 1 species